GAGUCCGCUAAACAAUGGCCAUGUGUUUUGUUCUUAACCUUUUUAUAAUCACUCUAUAUCCAGGUGCUGUGCUGGGUGAUUCGGUCCAGUCCAAGGAAUCCCAAGUGUCUGGAACAGAAGGAGGCUCAGUAACUUUCAGCUGUUCCUACAAAACCACCGAUCCUUCGGGCGUCUCUCUCUCCUGGUACCGACAGUCUCCUAACCGAGCCCCGCAGUACAUUCUGCGGAGAGGGACGAAGCAAUACGCUGCUUAUCGCGAAAAUGCGGAUUUCGCCCAGGAGAGGUUUUCUGCCCAGGCUAAUGGCAACUCCACAGUUCUGAGCAUCACAGCCCUGGAGCUGGCAGACACCGCGGUGUAUCUCUGCGCCCUGCAGCGGGCACAGUGACAGAACCACACAGCAGAGCUGUAC